CUGCUGGAGUGCGGGGGGGACCUCCAGCCCCCCGGAGGGUCCCUGACGUUGCAGUGCCGAGGGUCCGGGUUCAGUUUCGGACAGUUUGGAAUGCACUGGAUCCACCAGAGACCCGGGCAGACGCUGGAAUACAUCGCCAGCAUCAACAGCAAUGGUUCCAGCAGCGGCUACGCACCAUCGGUCAAGGGCCGGCUCACGAUCUCCAGGGACAACGGGCAGAGCUCGGUGACGCUGACCAUGAACAACCUCAAGGACGAGGAUUCCGGAUCCUAUUUCGGUGCCAAAGAUGCUGAUCGUUAUGCUGCUGCUCCUAAUGCUGGAGCAGAUCUGGCGCAGAAAUAG